rnacentral:rRNA from 1 species
UGCCGCGUGUGUGAUGAAGGUCUUAGGAUCGUAAAGCACUUUCGCCAGGGAUGAUAAUGACAGCUUCUGGUAAAGAAACCCCGGCUAACUCCGUGCCAGCAGCCGCGGUAAUACGGAGGGGGUUAGCGUUGUUCGGAAUUACUGGGCGUAAAGCGUACGUAGGCGGAUCAGAAAGUAUAGGGUGAAAUCCCAGGGCUCAACCCUGGAACUGCUUUGUAAACUCCUGGGGGGUGAGUUCCAGAGAGGUGAGUGGAAUUCCAAGUGUAGAGGUGAAAUU